UAACUCUCCUCCUUAACAGACUGUUAAGGAAUCGAUGAGGAAAUACUUCCUUGGUGCUGAACACAAAGACUGACACACUGCAGGCAAAGGAGAGACCGUGUCUUUCUUGGCUUCUGGACUCCAUGUUACCUGCCUGAGAUUGACAACUAAGACAGCAAGUAAAGAGGCUGCCAAGUUCCAAGUCCCUACGUCACUGUGCCUGAAAAUCUUAACUGUAGAAACUUAUCAUCUAAACAUCCAAGAGCAAGAUUUAAAAUCAUAACAUCUAGGAUCAGGUCCUUGCCAAAGACAAUGACGAUAAGCUCCCAAGUGACAUCAGCAUGAGACAGAAAUCGAAACACCUCAGCAUGACAAUAAGACUCCAGAUUACCUGAACUCUACCUGCUAUGCAAGUCUCAACUCUUGACAACCUCCCCUACUUUCAAGUCAUAAAAAACACUUACAAAUCCAUAAACAUAUCUUGUUUUCUAUGGUGUCUCUACUGGACCAUGUCAUGUUAUAUGAUUGUCUUUGCCUAAAUUUUCCGUGCUUAAACAUACUUAAGUGCCAUGAGUCUCUCUGCACAGGAUCUUCCCCAGGCCUUCCUCUUGAGUACAGGGCCAUACAGGGCACUACCUUUGACAGGUCUUCAUUGUCGACCUUGGCUGGAUUGAUAGAUACUGAGAAUAUUAGUGAAGCUCACCUCUGAGACUGUUUACAUGGGCAUUUUCAGAGAUGAUUAGAUCGUGACGGUUUGAUGGAUUCAAAUUUUCAGUGGCUUCCUUGGAGGUGAUAGGACUUCCUUCCUAGUUGGAGGGGUUUAGGGGCUGCAUCUUGUCCUAGCCCUUUCUGCUGUAGCUGAACUCUACUGCCUGCUGUUUGGCAUAGUGUGAACUGCUCCACCCUGAUUUCCUGUGUACCAUGAUAUAAGCUGUCCCUCAUGUUAUCCCUGUCAUAGUGACUAAACCUUCAAAACCAUGGGCAAAAUAAAUUGCUCCUCCUUGAAGUUGUUCAUUUUAGGCAUUUUGGUCAUAAUAAGGCAGUAUUAUCAACACUAUCAAUUUGUAUCUAGGCAAGGCUUAUAACCAUGGAAUUUGAUAAAAGAUAGUGUAUGGUAUUUCCAAGCCAGUUUCCAAAAUAUUCCAUAUCAUUCUUUAUUUCUCUCUUAUUCUUCAGACCACCGACAGAACUCUCUGGACCCCAGUAGAUCUUAGGACUAGUAUAAUAAGCAUACCUUCUGAACCUGUACUUUCAUGAGC